GACGAACGCUGGCGGCGUGCUUAACACAUGCAAGUCGAGCGGUAAGGCCCUUUCGGGGGUACACGAGCGGCGAACGGGUGAGUAACACGUGGGUGACCUGCCCUCAGCUCUGGGAUAAGCCUGGGAAACCGGGUCUAAUACUGGAUAUGACUCCAUGACGCAUGUUGUGGGGUGGAAAGCCUUGUGCGGCUGAGGAUGGGGCCCGCGGCCUAUCAGCUUGUUGGUGGGGUGANGGCCUACCAAGGCGACGACGGGUAGCCGGCCUGAGAGGGCGACCGGCCACACUGGGACUGAGACACGGCCCAGACUCCUACGGGAGGCAGCAGUGGGGAAUCUUGCGCAAUGGGCGAAAGCCUGACGCAGCGACGCCGCGUGAGGGAUGACGGCC
rnacentral:rRNA from 1 species